UUGAGCAUCAACGACGGAUAGGGUGAGGACCAGCACAAGGACCAAGGCGAGAACGGCAGCGUAUUUCUGCAUCUUGCUGGCUGAAAUAUGGAAAUAUAUGGCGAAAAAUGACAUUCAUCCCCCCCAACAAUGGACCAUCCUCCAGCGUACAAGGAGAGCGCAGCCUUUGGGUUCUGGUGCUUUGUCUCGGGCGUCAGACUCACGCCUGAAUGAUUGCAAUGGCUCCUCGACAGAAGAAGUCAUCAGGAUCAAGAGUUUCCGUGGAGACAAGUGAGGUCACGGGCAACGCCAGCAAGGUUAACCACGAAGGAAGGAAAACGCCAAAUAGACGAGAGGAAAAAGCAAAAUAAUCCGUCAGGACGAUAAGCUGCGUACGUUUUUUUUUCAAGGUAACGUCACAAAUAAGAACUGUAAUGAUCUUUUCGUGAUCCACAACGACGGCCUCAUGUUAUGCAUUGUGUCCUAUGACACCGUUGUGGUAGAGUAUAGCGUGCCUGACUGUGUAUUUGUUGUCCAAAUCAUUGAU